AGUGAACGCUGGCGGUAGGCCUAACACAUGCAAGUCGAACGGCAGCACAGUAAGAGCUUGCUCUUACGGGUGGCGAGUGGCGGACGGGUGAGGAAUACAUCGGAAUCUACUCUGUCGUGGGGGAUAACGUAAGGAAACUUACGCUAAUACCGCAUACGACCUACGGGUGAAAGCAGGGGAUCUUCGGACCUUGCGCGAUUGAAUGAGCCGAUGUCGGAUUAGCUAGUUGGCGGGGUAAAGGCCCACCAAGGCGACGAUCCGUAGCUGGUCUGAAAGGAUGAUCAGCCACACUGGAACUGAGACACGGUCCACACUCCUACGGGAGGCAGCAGUGGGGAAUAUUGGACAAUGGGCGCAAGCCUGAUCCAGCCAUACCGCGUGGGUGAAGAAGGCCUUCGGGUUGUAAAGCCCUUUUGUUGGGAAAGAAAUCCAGCCGGCUAAUACCUGGUUGGGAUGACGGUACCCAAAGAAUAAGCACCGGCUAACUUCGUGCCACCAGCCGCGGUAAUACGAAGGGUGCAAGCGUUACUCGGAAUUACUGGGCGUAAAGCGUGCGUAGGUGGUCGUUUAAGUCCGUUGUGAAAGCCCUGCGCUCAACCUGCGAACUGCAGUGGAUACUGGACGACUAGAGUGUGAUAGAGGGUAGCGGAAUUCCUGGUGUAUCAGUGAAAUGCGUAUAGAUCAGGAGGAACAUCCAUGGCGAAGGCAGCUACCUGGACCAACACUGACACUGACGCACGAAAGCGUGGGGAGCAAACA
rnacentral:rRNA from 1 species